rnacentral:rRNA from 1 species
AACGAACGCUGGCGGCAGGCCUAACACAUGCAAGUCGAGCGAGAUCUUCGGGUCUAGCGGCGGACGGGUGAGUAACGCGUGGGAAUAUGCCUCUUGGUACGGAAUAGCCUCGGGAAACUGGGAGUAAUACCGUAUGUGCCCUUUGGGGGAAAGAUUUAUCGCCAAGAGAUUAGCCCGCGUUGGAUUAGGUAGUUGGUGGGGUAAUGGCCUACCAAGCCGACGAUCCAUAGCUGGUUUGAGAGGAUGAUCAGCCACACUGGGACUGAGACACGGCCCAGACUCCUACGGGAGGCAGCAGUGGGGAAUCUUAGACAAUGGGGGCAACCCUGAUCUAGCCAUGCCGCGUGAGUGAUGAAGGCCUUAGGGUUGCAAAGCUCUUUCAGCUGGGAAGAUAAUGACGGUACCAGCAGAAGAAGCCCCGGCUAACUCCGUG